UCUUAUGGAUGAGCAAAGAAAGUGGCUUCUUGAUGUGGAAUCUACUCAUGGUGAAGAUGCCAUGAA
rnacentral:pre_miRNA from 1 species